UCCAACUGCUAGAAACGUUCAGAUCAUUGUCUUAUAUGGAAUGGUAUCCCCUAAUAGGACUGGUAUCAGCCCUUAUAAAUCAUGAAAAUUUUGAUCGAGCAAAGGCUAGUCGGAUUGGCUGGUUAUAAUGUAGGAGCUUCUCUUCUAGGUCUGCAGAUAUCCCUUCUCUUUCUCUCCUGUUUACGCGAGAUGAUGAAGAUCCUGCUCCUUUUGACAACCUUGUUGGAAUGCAAUUAGGCCCCGUUGUUCAUUUGCUUGAAUUUGUUUUCUCUGCGAGUCUCAUUACUUCCCUGCACAUUGAGAGAAUGGUAUUCGAAUUCAUGCCCGAUUCAAAUAUUAUUUGAUUUGGUUUGGUUUGUAAUUUGCUAUAAAAAUUUCGAAGUUUCAAUUGAAAAUGUAACUUUAAUUGCUGAUAAGAAAGAUGAAGGUUCUUCUCUUGCUCAA